rnacentral:rRNA from 1 species
UACGUAGGGUGCAAGCGUUAAUCGGAAUUACUGGGCGUAAAGCGUGCGCAGGCGGUUUUGUAAGUCAGAUGUGGAAUCCCCGGGCUUAACCUGGGAACUGCGUUUGAAACUACAAGGCUAGAGUGUGGCAGAGGGGGGUGGAAUUCCACGUGUAGCAGUGAAAUGCGUAGAGAUGUGGAGGAACACCGAUGGCGAAGGCAGCCCCCUGGGUUAACACUGACGCUCAGGCACGAAAGCGUGGGGAGCAAACAGG